CUUAAUAAAUAAAUGUCAAUGACAACAUGAAACAUGAAAGAAAUUUGAGGUAAAUGAGAAUAAAAAGACGAGAAUUAAAAGUGUAUAUUUAAUUCAUAAUUCGGCAUUGCCGUGCUUAUUCCGUGUUGAUGGUAAAAUUUUUUCAAGUCCAGCAUUCCAGCAAAACAACAGAAAGUAGAUAAGGCGAAUCGGUCCUCUGAACGACGCAUCUGAUUGGUCGAGUGUCACAUCGUGCGUGCGAUGUCAAAAUACGCGACGAGCGUACCUGAGUGAAGCUAACUAUAGUGCCUUAGUAUGAUAUGAAUUCUGCAAAAUAAAUUCCUGUUAUUUGGGAGGCGAGUACUCAAAAUGUGUACAUUUAUACUUGGAAGUGCUGUUUACGUCGAGUGAUUUUUCCGAUCCAGAGGCUGUUGUACGUUCCAUAUUGGAAAACGUAUUGCGUAUAAUACGUAAGCAAAAUUCCAACGAAGUAGGAUAUUACGAAGCUUUAUCGCUCAGUUACGAAUACGAUGCCGAAGUGCAAAAAGCAUUCGACGAAUCGUACAUACUACGCUUCGUUGAUUUGAAGAAAUUAAAAACCACGGAGCAAAUGACGUGUUUUUUAAUCAACUUGACAAACUUGAUGUGGAUCCAUGGUUUAUUUUCAUUCAGCGAAGGUGAUCUUUAUUUUUCCAAAUUUACGAGCUCGAAAAAGUACUUAAUAGUUUUUAAAACCAGACUUCUGUUUUUGUAGGUUUUCAUAGAGGAUUGUUUUUUAAAAACUGGUGUUUGAGACACGUUUGUUACAAUGUGAUAGGCUAUCGUGUCGGCUUGUCAAUAAAAUUCCUCAGUUUAACACGAUUUACAUAGCACUUUAUUGAACUACCCUCCGAUUCUGCGAACAAACACAUUGAACCAGUUCACCUUCUUGGAAGAUGCUCGUCUUCAUUCAGUCAUUGGCCAACCGUACAUCUAUUCGCCGAAAAUACAAGCUUUGAAUCCGGAAACUCUCGAAGAAGAUCUGAGCGAAUUCCAUAACGAGUACCUGAAGAGUUACAUUAUUGUCGAUUCUGAUAUCGAUCUACUGGUUCCUGUUCCCCUCAUGAUGCAUAUGGAGCGUUCCGUUUAUGAUCCUAAAAUCGAAAGCGAGCUUGUAAAUAGUACAGAUAGCAUUCCUGAAAAAUGUUCCCCCUUGGUCGAUGUUCUAAAAGAGCGUGGGUUUCCUUACUACGACCUUUUAACCAAAGAUGUGUACAUGAUGACUGAUACCCAGUUCAAGAUCAAAUUCGAUUAUGAUAAUACACUUCGAUAUACAGAAUGUUAGCGAAAUACGCAGAGUUGUGUGGAAAUGUUGCCGGUUUCAUAAAUCGUUGUAUAAUUGUUUGCAACAUCAUGCUUCCUUGGUUCGAAGUACUUUAAUGGAUGAUCAUUUACCCAUCGAUUCGCUUUGCCGAUGUGAUGAUAAAAAUGUGAUUUGUAUCAAUAACGUGUUAUACAAGAUGAGCCAAAUGUAUAGUCCAAUGUUGAAUAGUUACAAAAUAGAAAUUGAUUUCGAAAAUAAGGGUCUGAGAUGUUUAUACGCUGUUGUUUCGUUUGCUGUUGGAUUUAAAACAAAACCGCAACUAGUCGAUUUAGCCAAAGAUGCAGA